UCGGUCAUCUGAUGAUCGAACUAUACCUUUGAGUAUCAUUGUAGAGCGCACAAAACUUUCUAUCGAGGAGGUGGAGCAUCUUCUUAUGAAGAGCCUUUCUGUUCAUCUGAUUGAGGGCCUAAUUGAUCAAGUUGAGGGAACAGUGCAUGUAUCCUGGAUGCAGCCAAGAGUAUUGGGGAUUCCACAGAUCACAUCCUUGCGCGAUCGUCUGGACAAUUGUAACAAUUCAUUAAUAGAAAAUGGAAAAAAAUUGGAAAGGCGACCCAAAAAAAAAAAACAAAAUUAAAAGAGACUCGUCUUUUAAGUCGCAUGGGCAGUAUGGCCAGCUGUAUGCUUCCUUUCUUAUUGCCUAUUUUUGUUGAAUCCUCUUCCUGAAAGGAGCAGCCUCUUGUGCUUCAUGAAGUCAUCGAUUCCAUAGUGGCAUCCCUAGAGACUAAUGAAAAACGGUUGUUUUACGCUUUUGAGUGGUUUAUUAGACUAUGUAUUUGAAAUUUUUCUUACACACAAUCAGAUGUGAUUCUCUUAUUGUUGUUAGAGUGCAUUUCCUUUCGUGAUUAUCAUUUUAUUCUUCUUUUAUAUAUUGCUAUGUUUGAACCA